GACGAACGCUGGCGGCGUGCUUAACACAUGCAAGUCGAACGGAAAGGCCCUGCUUUUGUGGGGUGCUCGAGUGGCGAACGGGUGAGUAACACGUGAGUAACCUGCCCUUGACUUUGGGAUAACUUCAGGAAACUGGGGCUAAUACCGGAUAGGAGCUCCUGCUGCAUGGUGGGGGUUGGAAAGUUUCGGCGGUUGGGGAUGGACUCGCGGCUUAUCAGCUUGUUGGUGGGGUAGUGGCUUACCAAGGCUGUGACGGGUAGCCGGCCUGGGAGGGUGACCGGGCACAUUGGGACUGAGAGACGGCCCAGAGUGCUACGGGGGGCAGCAGUGGGGAGUAUUGCACAAUGGGCGGAAGCCUGAUGCAGCAACGCCGCGUGCGGGAUGACGGCCUUCGGGUUGUAAACCGCUUUCGCCUGUGACGAAGCGUGAGUGACGGUAAUGGGUAAAGAAGCACCGGCUAACUACGUG
rnacentral:rRNA from 1 species